GUGAAUCAUCAAAUUUUUGAACGCAAAUUGCACUCUCUGGUAUUCCGGAGAGUAUGCCUGUUUGAGGGUCAGUUUAAAUAAAAAGCGGUGUGGUGGCUGCCGUGCGUGGUGACGCACCGGGUGUGGGUCGUCUUGCCUUCGGUUGAGUGACCGAGAAUUUUGCAUGAUUUUUUGCGAACGUAUUUAAAUGAUUUUAUGUACGUUUGCGAUAUCGAAUACUAGUUGUGGUCAUCGUCAUGGGUCGCGCUAAUAAUUUUUG
rnacentral:misc_RNA from 1 species